GGCAGGCCUAAUACAUGCAAGUCGAACGGUGCGGGCCUUCGGGCCCGUACAGUGGCAAACGGGUGCGUAACGCGUAAGCAACCUGCCUCACACUGGGGGAUAGCCUGGCGAAAGCGAGGGUAAACCCGCAUGGUCCUUUUCUUCUACCUGGGGGGAUAGGUAAACAGCGAUGGGUGUGAGAGGGGCUUGCGUCGGAUUAGCUAGUUGGCGGGGUAACGGCCCACCAAGGCGAUGAUCCGUCGGGGUUCUGAGAGGAUUGGCCCCCACAUGGGUACUGAGAGACGGACCCAACUCCUACGGGAGGCAGCAGUAGGGAAUAUUGGGCAAUGGGCGCAAGCCUGACCCAGCCAUGCCGCGUGCAGGAUGAAGGCGCUCAGCGUUGUAAACUGCUUUUGACGGGGAAGAACGGCAGACCUGCGGGUUUGUGUGACGGUACCCGCAGAAUAAGCACCGGCUAACUCCGUGCCAGCAGCCGCGGUAAUACGGAGGGUGCAAGCGUUGUCCGGAUUUAUUGGGUUUAAAGGGUGCGUAGGUGGUCUUUUAAGUCUGGUUUGAAAGCUGGUGGCUCAACCAUCAGAUGUGGCUGGAAACUGGGGGAC
rnacentral:rRNA from 1 species